GAUGAAGAACGUAGCGAAAUGCGAUACUUGGUGUGAAUUGCAGAAUCCCGUGAACCAUCGAGUCUUUGAACGCAAGUUGCGCCCGAAGCCAUUAGGCCGAGGGCACGCCUGCCUGGGCGUCACACGUCGUUGCCCCCCCAUCUACUCCUUCGGGAUUGCGGGGGGCGGAUGAUGGCCUCCCGUGCGCCUCGCCGCGCGGUUGGCAUAAAUGCCAAGUCCUCGGCGACGCACGCCACGACAAUCGGUGGUUGCGAAACCUCGGUUGCCCGUCGUGUGCGGUCGUCGCGCAUCGAGGGCUCGAAAAAAUUGCCGGGUUCCGGCUCGGCUUUCAACGCGACCCCAGGUCAGGCGGGGUUACCCACUGAAUUUAAGCAUAUCAAUAAGCGGAGGA
rnacentral:misc_RNA from 1 species